UACAAUACAGUUCAUCCAAGUGUCCAAAUGGAUCAUUUCGGUUAUUUACCUAAUGAGUCUAGCAUUUCAUCAGAAAUGAUCAUUGCCCUUUCCUUUGCACUUUAUAUGUUCAGCGCCUGAAGUGUGUUAUUAAAUUAUUAGAUAUGAAUCACUGGAGCCUCGUUGAGUUGCAGAGCUCAUGGGUCUGAGCACGCAAGCGCCUUGUGAGAAAUGACGCAGGGCGGGAGUAUUUAAACCCACCAGGAGCCUGUCUUGUCCAUCAUCACAGCGGGUAUCCUCGUGCAGGACCAGAUUUGAUUGCGUCGUGUUCGCACACACGGCUGGCACGCGACAUAACACACACGUUCUUGGCUGAAGUCUGGUGUUUUGCUAUGGAAAAACGAGGCUCUUUCUCUUUGCGCGUGACUUUGCUCAUGUUCAUCUCUCUGGUUGGUUCAGAACUGUCUGGCAACUGUCCGAGAUGUGAUCCUGGCUUUAUUCCCCAGGGCUGCAAGUGCAUCCGCUGUCCAAAGAACACAUACUGGUUGAUGAGGCAGGGCCAUGCCUUCUGCGAGCGAUGUACCAUGGUCUGCUCAGCUCAGCGACACUUGGUGGAAGUAAGCGCCUGCACGAGCACCUCGAAUCGCGAGUGCCACUGCCAGGCAGGUUUCUUCUGUACCAGUGCCGCACAGUACACUUGCCGAAGGUGCAAGCCAUGUCCAGAGGGCACCUUCUCAAAUGUCACUUCCCGUUCUAAGUCCUGCCAGUCAUACACAGAUUGCACCACUUUGGGAAUGGCAGUGAUUACAAAGGGAAGUAGGACUCACGAUCAAGUGUGUGGCUCGCUCAUGACUGCCCUUAAAUAACCCCCGGUUACGAACUUUCAGCUAGCUAUGCCAAAUGCAAAGCAAUCUGAGAUGUGGAGACUUGGGCAACAGGGGCUGUUGAAGCAAGAAAGAAGUCCAUUUAAGAAAAAAGCCAAAGAAUGUAGAUAUGAAAAAUUUAGCAAACCUCAGCAAAAAAGGAUGCAAAAUACUGCUGUCUCCAUCAUACAACAGCAUAUCAUUUUUUUAAAAUAUAUCUCUAUUUAUUUUGUGAGUUAUUGUAUUCUUAGCGGCUUACAAGUGCUGUAUACAGAUGACACAUUUCUGGAAAAGUGUUACAGGAAGCAGUCUUUCUUGGGGUCUGAUUCAGCCUGUUGAUUAAUGCCUUCCUAAGUCCCAGGUUAGUCAUGUCAACUUUACCAGUCAAACCACAUCAGUUACAAGCCCUGGUGUUAUCUUAUAUUUGCAUUUAUUCAGCAACAUACAUGUCGGAGAAAAUACAAUGUGUGUAUUACAUCAGCAGAAAGAGAGACGUAGAUGCAGACGCGUGAUUAUUAUCCGUUAUUCAACAAUUACAAUCAUGAAAAGCUUGAUUAUAAAUCUUGGAAAAGGAUCUUCAAUGCAGUCAUCAAGUCUAGGUCACAAAAUUUACAUAAUGAGUGAAAAUGCAGACCAUACUAAAUCAAAACCACACCACUACACUUCUAAGAUCAUCAGUACCAUGUUUCAAGAAAUUACAGCAAGUUAAUCUGGGGGAAAAAAAAAAAAAACUUGUCAGUUUUUUUUCUUUUUUUGUGCAGCUCUUCAACUUGUGAAGCUGGCAGUGAACUACUGAGAUUUGUAAAAUUUUAAGCCAGUGAAAUACUUUGUUGUUAGUCUAAGUUCAGGUUUCAAGUCUGUUGUCAUAGGUACAAGUACUGUGUACAAGGAUCAUGAAAUUCUUCUUGAAUGUUUCUCCACAGACUAUGAACAAAAACAAUAGAAAUACUGCACAUACUGUUUAUGUACAUGAUUUGCACCCAAGGAUUGCACUGCUAUUUGAAAGUACAAAGUGAACUGAUAAACUUAAGUAGUAAUGAGCCCUAGCACUGGUUAUUUUAGCUUUAACAUAUUUUCUAAAAAACAAAAAAAAAAAAAAGCAAGUAAAAUCUAUUUAUACACAUGUAACUGCCUCAACCCUACCUUGCAUUAUAGUUACUUUUCACAAAUAAUACACAGUAUUGUCCAGAGGCAGCCGAACAGCCAUAAAAGAAUGUUGCAUACCCUGUAGCGAUUUGGAACUAUGAAUGGUUGACGUGUAAAUAACGACUGAUUUAUCCUGUAAACAUUUCCAUUUUAAAUUAAAAUACCGGGCAAACAUCCAUUCUGUCUCUUUACUUUAUCGAGCAGCACUUUGUCAAUAUAGCCUAAUAAGCAAAUUAGAGUUACGGACUGGCGUCCCGUCCUGGGUGUGUCCCCUUCCCCCUCUGGCCUUACGCCCUGUGUUGCCGGGUAGGCUCCGGUUCCCCGUGACCCCGUAUGGGACGAGCGGUUCUGAAAAUGUGUGUGUAUGAAAUACAAUACUUCAACACGUCUUCAGUUUGAACAUCCAAUUAUUUGCCUUCAACUGUAAUUUCCAGGGAUCAAGAAAGUUGUUCCUUAAGAUUCUUUAAAAUUGAGGCUUUAAUGUGAAGUGCUAUAGAAUGCAGUAUACCUCUACCUCCACAAUAUUGGCACUGGAAGUCUGUUCGUAACUUGAAUUGUUCAUAAGUCCAACCAUUUUGUCAUAAUCAAUAAAAGCAGCUAAAACCU
ensembl:lncRNA